rnacentral:tRNA from 1 species
GGUCAUAGCUCAGUGGUAGAGCACUCGCCUCAUGCAUGUGUGAGGCCCUUGGUUUGAUUCUCAGCACCA